rnacentral:rRNA from 1 species
AUGGUCAAGUGGUCCGAGAUCUGUAGACCCCGCGACCAGGGCGGCCUUGGGAUCAUGUCAUCCAAACGCAUGAAUAUAGCCCUUUUGACUCGAUGGCUCUGGAGGAUUAACAACGGAGAUGGUGGCCUGUGGCUGCGCAUUAUUCAGCAGAAGUACCUCCGCGGACAGCCACUCGCCUUCUGUCAACGCUCUGGAGGCUCCCAGUUCUGGCAAUCUGUCAUCCAGCUCCUCCCUGUCCUCCGGAUAGGGACCUCGAUUGAGAUCGGGUCCGGCACCGCCACACUGUUUUGGUUUGAUCGCUGGACUGGGGACGCACCCCUGGCGUCCCGGUUUCCGGUCCUGUUCUCCAUUGCGGUGGCCCCCCAGAUCUCCGUGGCAAACGCCCUUCUCGACCUUGGGCGCCUUGCGUUCCAAAGGCCUUUUGGUCCUGCGGAGAAUGCGGACUGGCAGGACUUGCUUGACUGUGUGACUCUCCAUGAGCCGGAUCUCACGUCUGAUGAUGACCGCGCUAGAUGGCGCCUUGAACCAUCCGGUCAAUUCUCCACCAAAUCUCUCUAUCGGGCCAUCGCCCCCUCGCCCGGUCAUGAGGCGCUCUCAUCUAUUUGGGAGAUUCGCCUCCCAUUGAAGAUUAGGAUAUUCUUGUGGCAGUGGAUUCGUGUCCGCCUUCCAUCUGGCGUUGAGAUUCUGAAACGCAAUGGCCCUGGGGACGGGCGCUGCCCACUCUGUGGGCCUGAAGAGGACUCGAACCAUAUCUUCUUCACCUGCGUGUCUGCGCAGUUCCUUUGGAGCUGA